rnacentral:rRNA from 1 species
CGCCUGUUUAUCAAAAACAUCUUUUCUCGUUAGUUUUUGAAGUAUGGCCUGCCCACUGACUUUGAUGUUGAAGGGCCGCGGUAUUUUGACCGUGCAAAGGUAGCAUAGUCAUUAGUUCUUUAAUUGUGAUCUGGUAUGAAUGGCUUGACGAGGCAUGGACUGUCUUAAUUUUGAAUUGUUUAUUGAAUUUGGUCUUUGAGUUAAAAUUCUUAGAUGUUUUUAUGGGACGAGAAGACCCUAUAGAGUUUAACAUUUAUUAUGGUCCUUUUCUGUUUGUGAGGGUUCACUGGGCCGUUAUUAUGUUUUGUUGGGGUGAUGGGAGGGAUUUAUUUAACCCCUCCUUUAGGUUGUUAUAUUUAUUUAUAUUUACUUGAUCCAUUUAUUUUGAUUGUAAGAUUAAAUUACCUUAGGGAUAACAGCGUAA